GAAAUGCGAUACUUGGUGUGAAUUGCAGAAUCCCGUGAACCAUCGAGUCUUUGAACGCAAGUUGCGCCCGAGGCCUCCUGGUCGAGGGCACGUCUGCCUGGGUGUCACGCAUCGUCGCCCCCGCUCCCCUCGGCUCACGAGGGCGGGGGCGGAUACUGGUCUCCCGCGCGCUCCCGCCCGUGGUUGGCCUAAAAUCGAGUCCCCGGCGACGGUCGCCACGACAAGCGGUGGUUGAGAGACCCUCGGACACGGUCGUGCGCGUGCUCGUCGCCCCCGGACCUCCCGGACCCCCGAGCAUUGGCUUUCAAGGAUGCUCUCGUUGCGACCCCAGGUCAGGCGGGACUACCCGCUGAGUUUAA
rnacentral:misc_RNA from 1 species